rnacentral:rRNA from 1 species
UACGAAGGGGGCUAGCGUUGCUCGGAAUGACUGGGCGUAAAGGGCGCGUAGGCGGCUUGCACCGUCAGAUGUGAAAUCCCCGGGCUUAACCUGGGAAUGGCAUUUGGGACUGCAAGGCUUGAGUGCGGCAGAGGAGACUGGAAUUCCUGGUGUAGCAGUGAAAUGCGUAGAUAUCAGGAGGAAUACCGAUGGCGAAGGCAGGUCUCUGGGCUGACACUGACGCUCAUGCACGAAAGCGUGGGGAGCAAACAGG